GACGAACGCUGGAGGCGUGCUUAACACAUGCAAGUCGAACGAUGAAAUGGAGCUUGCUCCAUGGAUUAGUGGCGAACGGGCGAGUAACACUUGAAUAACCUGCCCUUAAUUUUGGAAUAACUCAGGGGAACCUGGGCCAAUACCGGAAAAGUAAACCUGUGGUAUAACAUGGUUUUGGCAGGUUUUUCGAUUAAGGAUGGAUUCGCGGCCUAUCAGCUUGUUGGUGAGGUAAUGGCUCACUAAGGCGACGACGGGUAGCCGGCCUGAGAGGGUGAACGGCCACACUGGGACUGAGACACGGCCCAGACUCCUACGGGAGGCAGCAGUGGGGAAUAUUGCGCGAUGGACGAAAGUCUGACGCAGCGACGCCUCGUGAGGGACGAAGGUCUUCGGAUUGUAAACCUCUUUCAGCAGGGACGAGGCGAAAGUGACGGUACCUGCAGAAGAAGCACCGGCUAACUAUGUGCCAGCAGCCGCCGUAA
rnacentral:rRNA from 1 species